UAGUACGGAAUGAGUUUACAUAGCCUGGGGGGGGUGACGUUUUUUUUUUUUUUUAGGACUAGACCCCAGCUAUAUUUAACUCCUAAGUUAUUUGGUUCAAACAAAGGGAUUGGUGUGGCUAAACAUUAGGUACCUUUUGAUAUUCUAAAAUCUCCGGGGGGCUGGCAUCUAGAUGCUGGGGUGGGGAGGUCUCGACAUCGCUGGGCUGAUUGACUUUUUAAAACCCUACAGCAUCUGUUUUAGACCCUAAAACAUAAAUUAUGUUUUGACAUGUUGUUAAUGAUUCGUAAGUGGCCGUAAGACAAAGACACACUUUUUUGUUUGGGGGUCGGCCUCUGUUUUGACGUAUAUUGUAAAGAGAGAGAGAGAGAGAGCCUUGAGCGCAGACGCCUGGCCAUUUCUGAACACACACCCCGCCCCGUUUUCUUUGUUUUGAAACACACACAUACGCAUACACUCCAGCACACGCACGCACACACACACGCGCGCGCACAUGGCUUUUUCUGCAAGUUUUUUUCUCCGGGGGCAUGCUUGGUGAUAGAAGUUAAGGACUUAUUCCUAUCGUUAGAAGAUAUAGGUCCUGGUUAGCCCCUGACCAUUAUCCGAUCGCUAAGACGCUUGCACACUCCCUCAAAGCUCCGUAAGUUUUCCCUCCAUGGGUAGAUAAUCCGUCCGUCAUGUAAAUCCUGGGGUAUGCACCCAGCUUUAAUGAAUAAGAUGGGUAGAAAAUGAAUCUGUUUAAGUCAUAAGUAAAGGCCUUUCAUAAAGAGGCUGUCAUGAUUGACUGUGGCCCAUAUUUAACACGUAUUGCAUGUUACCUAAGACUAUUGUUGUACAUUGAAUAUCCACUAGCAGAUUUGUGUAGCAUGCAUCUCCACUAUAUCGGUCAUGUUCCUGUGGUCUUUUUAAAAGUUAAUAAACCUGUGUGUAAAAUGUACACUUUUGUUUCACUGUAGAUUUGUUUAAGCCCACCUAGAAACACCUGAUUUAUCCCACAGCAUUAAGGAAUAAGCUGUGUAUAAAAAUAUUCUGUUUAAGUCCUAAGUAAAGGCCUUUCCUAAAGAGGCUGUCAUGAUUGACUGUGGCCCAUAUUUAACACGUAUUGCUUGUUACAGAAGACCCCUGUUGUACAUUGAAUAUCCAAUAGCCGAUUUUUGGAGCAUCUCCACUAUAUCUGUCAUGUUACUGUGGUCUUUUUAAAAGUCAAUAAACAUGUGUGUAAAAUGUACACUUUUGUUUCACUGUAGAUUGUUUAAGCCCACCUAGAAACACCUGAUUUAUCCCACAGCAUCAAUGAAUAAGCUGCGUAUAAAAUUAUUCUGUUUAAGUCAUAAGUAAAGGCCUUUCAUAAAGAGGCUGUCAUGAUUGACUGUGGCCCAUAUUUAACACGUAUUGCUUGUUACAGAAGACCCCUGUUGUACAUUGAAUAUCCAAUAGCCGAUUUUUGGAGCAUCUCCACUAUAUCUGUCAUGUUACUGUGGUCUUUUUAAAAGUCAAUAAACAUGUGUGUAAAAUGUACACUUUUGUUUCACUGUAGAUUUGUUUAAGCCCACCUAGAAACACCUGAUUUAUCCCACAGCAUUAAGGAAUAAGCUGUGUAUAAAAAUAUUCUGUUUAAGUCCUAAGUAAAGGCCUUUCCUAAAGAGGCUGUCAUGAUUGACUGUGGCCCAUAUUUAACACGUAUUGCUUGUUACAGAAGACCCCUGUUGUACAUUGAAUAUCCAAUAGCCGAUUUUUGGAGCAUCUCCACUAUAUCUGUCAUGUUACUGUGGUCUUUUUAAAAGUCAAUAAACAUGUGUGUAAAAUGUACACUUUUGUUUCACUGUAGAUUGUUUAAGCCCCCCUAGAAACACCUGAUUUAUCCCACAGCAUCAAUGAAUAAGCUGCGUAUAAAAUUAUUCUGUUUAAGUCAUAAGUAAAGGCCUUUCAUAAAGAGGCUGUCAUGAUUGACUGUGGCCCAUAUUUAACACGUAUUGCUUGUUACAGAAGACCCCUGUUGUACAUUGAAUAUCCAAUAGCCGAUUUUUGGAGCAUCUCCACUAUAUCUGUCAUGUUACUGUGGUCUUUUUAAAAGUCAAUAAACAUGUGUGUAAAAUGUA